rnacentral:rRNA from 1 species
GACAGAGGGUGCAAACGUUGUUCGGAAUUACUGGGCGUAAAGCGAGUGUAGGCGGUUCGAUAAGUCGGAUGUGAAAUCCCUCGGCUCAACCGAGGACGUGCAUCCGAAACUGCAGAGCUCGAGUAUGGAAGAGGGUCGCGGAAUUCCCGGUGUAGAGGUGAAAUUCGUAGAUAUCGGGAGGAACACCAGUGGCGAAGGCGGCGACCUGGGCCAAUACUGACGCUGAGGUGCGAAAGCGUGGGGAGCAAACAGG